GCUAAAAAGAAGCAAAGAAAGAUUCUACCCAGAGACUCAGAAGGAGCAUGGCCUUGCUGAUGGCUUGAUUUAGGACUUCAAACCUCCAGAACUAUUUUGUUCGAAUUUCUGUUUUUGUUUCAAGCUCCCAGAUGCUGACGCCUAGACUUUUCACAUGGCAAGUGAUGAUAUCCCUGUGGGAUGAUGCCUUUCUUGGGAUGGUACAAGCAUCUGCCAAGAUGCACAGCUGGAUACUAAAAUCUAUUCGUGGAUGAGGAUAUGGGAAGAGGAGUGAUUUUCCCAAAGGAAAAAUCAAAGAGCUGUCACUAGAAGAAUGGAAAUAAGUAUUGAGCAAGCAAAUGUUAACCAGAAAUUGUGUAUCUUUCCUGACCAACUUGAGGCAUAAGUAUAUUAGAAAUUACUACCUUGUUUGAAAGAAAACUGAACCCUACCUUGUACACUAUGAGUUCUUUAAGAAAACAAAAUACACAGAAGACUGAAAAUAAGUAUUUUUUUAAAAAAAAAAAAAAGAAUCAAAACAACUGCAAUAACAUAGUGCUUUGUCAAUCGUAAUUAACUAUAUGGUAAUAGUCAAUGCAGGUUUGCUUCAUCUGUCCCGAGUAUCUAAAGUUAGUGGAACUACACCAGUUCUCCAAUUGCAUUAUGCCUUAUAAGGGAACUUGGCCUCAGCCUUUAUCUGUUGAUAGUUUCAUUGGCUUCAAUUAGUUUACACGCCUUAUCAGAACCAUGGCUGUCCUUCAGGUGACCAAUCUUUGGAGAAUGGUGCAUGUUUUCCCAGAAGCUGCUUCCCCCAUAAUACAAACACAUGGUAUUGUAU